GCACUUCCGGGGCCCGCGUCCCCCGGCGGCUCCGGCGAGAAGGGCCUCUGGGAGCUUAAGGGCCCCGGCACGCGUUCCCCUGGCGCAGAGCUCGCUAGCUGGGGCGCGGGCUGCCUUCUUGUUCUGGUGUGAUCCGAAUGUAACGGAGCGGACUUGGGGAUCCAGAACCCCAGACUGAGGUUGUGCUUGGCUUGAGGGGCGGGCUGGUAGGCCAGCCCCCUUGGGGCAUCGUUGGUCCUCUCCAGGUGUGUCACAUUCGGACCGCACAUGGUGCCUUGGUACUCCCCAAAAGUCAUGCCUUGAUUUUUCUUACUAAUAAUAGUUUACACUGUUUUACCGCUUCACUGCUUCACCUGCAGUUCCUGAUACUGGUUUUCCUACAUGCUUCAGCCAAAGACAUAUACUCUGAUCCCUGAGAACACUAUUUCCUCAGUGUCUUUGCACAUGGAGUUCACUUCUCUGCUUGUGAAGUCUAUGAAUAUUGCAUGGCUGAUUUGUCACAAUUUUAAGUCUUCAACAUCUGGAGUGUUCUGGCAGGAAUUUGUAGGAAAAAUUUUUGAAUUAUCAGAUUACCAUAGCACAACCUUGGAGAAUAAAACUCUUUUGCUCUGAAGCUCAUCUAAUAACCUGAUAUCUCUCGAAUGAAUCUAUCCAAUGACAGGGAAUACCCCAUGUUAAACAGCUGAUUCUUGUUCUGAAUACAUUUAUAUCUUGUAGUUAGUAAAUAAAUAAAUUGGACCCUUAA